rnacentral:rRNA from 1 species
AGCGGCUSCACGGGUGAGCAACACGUGGGAACGUACCCUUUACUACGGAAUAACGCAGGGAAACUUGUGCUAAUACCGUAUGUGCCCUUCGGGGGAAAGAUUUAUCGGUAAGGGAUCGGCCCGCGUUGGAUUAGCUAGUUGGUGGGGUAAAGGCCUACCAAGGCGACGAUCCAUAGCUGGUCUGAGAGGAUGAUCAGCCACAUUGGGACUGAGACACGGCCCAAACUCCUACGGGAGGCAGCAGUGGGGAAUAUUGGACAAUGGGCGCAAGCCUGAUCCAGCCAUGCCGCGUGAGUGAUGAAGGCCCUAGGGUUGUAAAGCUCUUUCACCGGAGAAGAUAAUGACGGUAUCCGGAGAAGAAGCCCCGGCUAACUUCGUGCCAGCAGCCGCGGUAAUACGAAGGGGGCUAGCGUUGUUCGGAAUUACUGGGCGUAAAGCGCACGUAGGCGGACAUUUAANUCAGGGGUGAAAUCCCAGAGCUCAACUCUGGAACUGCCUUUGAUACUGGGUGUCUUG